UACGUAGGUGGCAAGCGUUGUCCGGAAUUAUUGGGCGUAAAGCGCGCGCAGGUGGUUCUUUAAGUCUGAUGCGAAAGCCCACGGCUCAACCGUGGAGGGUCAUUGGAAACUGGGGAACUUGAGUGCAGAAGAGGAAAGUGGAAUUCCAAGUGUAGCGGUGAAAUGCGUAGAGAUUUGGAGGAACACCAGUGGCGAAGGCGACUUUCUGGUCUGUAACUGACACUGAGGCGCGAAAGCGUGGGGAGCAAACAGG
rnacentral:rRNA from 1 species